rnacentral:rRNA from 1 species
ACAUCCAGAGAAUUUAGCAGAGAUGCUUUAGUGCCUUCGGGAACUCUGAGACAGGUGCUGCAUGGCUGUCGUCAGCUCGUGUUGUGAAAUGUUGGGUUAAGUCCCGNAACGAGCGCAACCCUUAUCCUUUGUUGCCAGCACGUAAUGGUGGGAACUCAAAGGAGACUGCCGGUGAUAAACCGGAGGAAGGUGGGGAUGACGUCAAGUCAUCAUGGCCCUUACGAGUAGGGCUACACACGUGCUACAAUGGCGCAUACAAAGAGAAGCGACCUCGCGAGAGCAAGCGGACCUCAUAAAGUGCGUCGUAGUCCGGAUUGGAGUCUGCAACUCGACUCCAUGGAGUCGGAAUCGCUAGUAAUCGUAAAUCAGAAUGUUACGGUGAAUACGUUCCCGGGCCUUGUACACACCGCCCGUCACACCAUGGGAGUGGGUUGCAAAAGAAGUAGAUAGCUUAACCUUCGGGAGGGCGUUUACCACUUUGUGAUUCAUGACUGGGGUGAAGUCGUAACAAGGUAAGCGUAGUGCU